UAAUACUCACCUUUUGCAAGAAGUGUUUCUAGAAAAUAGAAAUAGUUAUAAUAAUCUUAGCGUGAAAAAGAAUAAGAGAGAGAUUUGUGCAAAGGAGGGGAAGUUUUGGUGAAAUUUUGAGAGAAAGUGUUAUAGAAACAAUAGUUGGAAGGUAUUAGCUGAAUUAUUGAGGUAACGGCCGUUACCGUUAUUUAAUGGUAAAUAACAGCCCUUACUAUUAAAUAACGGUUGCAAUGGCUGUUGCUAAUGCAACUCAGAAUCUGCCUUUAAAUAACGGGGUAACGGGUAACAGCUUUUUGAAAAACCUAUAAAUAAUGGCCAUUACAUAAUGUAACGGCCGUUAUUUAAAACCAUGAAACUGCAUAUCUAAGGUGAUAUGUGUGCACCAAAUUGUACUGCCUUAACCCUUAGGGAGCUAAGAAAAUUUAAUCUGAAAUUUAUGUUGCUGGAUCUGAUUGCAGCAUGCUCCAGUACCGUGUAUUGUUGCUCGUAGAUGUCUCUAAAGUCGUGUUAUUGAAAUAGAUAAGUUUUUGCAUUUUUUGAUGCUAUGCAGGUAUCCAGGCACAGGAUUAUAUGACAAGUUUUUUGAAGAGGGUGUCUACAACUGUGCAGGAUGUGGGACUCCUCUCUAUAAAUCUGUAACCAAAUUUAACUCUGGUUGUGGUUGGCCAGCUUUCUAUGAAGGUUUUCCGGGAGCUAUAGCUUGCAAUCCGGAUCCAGAUGGCAUGAGAACUGAAAUUACAUGUGCAGCUUGUGGUGGACAUCUGGGGCAUGUUUUCAAAGGUGAAGGAUUUCCAACACCCACAGAUGAACGCCAUUGUGUCAAUAGUAUAUCACUCAAGUUUGUUCCUGCAAAUUCUUCCCUGUGAAAGUCUAUCAUAGUGGUUAUCUUUGAUGGAAACUAUCUGAUUCUGUAUAAAACGUGGAAAUAGUAUCAUGUUUACACAAAUAAAACCUGAUGCUUCACUUGGUGCCGAGUUGCAGUUUCUUUCAUAUGUGCAAGAAACUUGCUUAGAUAUGUAAGAUGAUAGUUAUGUAAUAAAGAGAUGUUAUUAUGCAAGCGUGCUUGUUGGCAUGAAAGUAAUAUGUUACUUUUAAAAGUAACAUAUUACUUUCAUGCCAACAAGCACGCUUGCAUAAUAACAUCUCUUUAUUACAUAACUAUCAUCUUACAUAUCUAAGCAAGUUUCUUGCACAUAUGAAAGAAACUGCAACUCGGCACCAAGUGAAGCAUCAGGUUUUAUUUGUGUAAACAUGAUACUAUUUCCACGUUUUAUACAGAAUCAGAUAGUUUCCAUCAAAGAUAACCACUAUGAUAGACUUUCACAGGGAAGAAUUUGCAGGAACAAACUUGAGUGAUAUACUAUUGACACAAUGGCGUUCAUCUGUGGGUGUUGGAAAUCCUUCACCUUUGAAAACAUGCCCCAGAUGUCCACCACAAGCUGCACAUGUAAUUUCAGUUCUCAUGCCAUCUGGAUCCGGAUUGCAAGCUAUAGCUCCCGGAAAACCUUCAUAGAAAGCUGGCCAACCACAACCAGAGUUAAAUUUGGUUACAGAUUUAUAGAGAGGAGUCCCACAUCCUGCACAGUUGUAGACACCCUCUUCAAAAAACUUGUCAUAUAAUCCUGUGCCUGGAUACUCUGUGCCUUUCUGCCUCAAAAUCCGAAACUGAUCUGGCGAUAAAAUCGCACGCCACUCCUCCUCUGACUUCUGGACGGACCCAGGAGCAGCCAUGGCGAUUAAUCCACCACGAAAAUUACGCUUUCUCCGGUAGAAAGAGCCACCGAACCCAGCAAGAGAAAUGGAAUAGACUGCGGGUUUGGAAGAAGGAAAUCUGAAAUGGGUUUUGCAGGAGUUAGGAACAGAAUGAAGCAGAGAAAGAACCUUGGAGAAAGUGGGUUUGGCUGUGGGGGUGAUGAGAACUGCUUUGGUUGCAGAAACAGGUGAGCUUUUGAGGAUGUUGAAGCCCAUCAUCUGGAAGAGAGAGACAGAGAGAGAAAGGG
rnacentral:misc_RNA from 1 species